rnacentral:tRNA from 1 species
GGCUUUGUAGUGGAAAAAAGACGCCAGGCUGCAAUCCUGGAAAUGUAGUAGUUAUUACCUUAGCCU